CAACGAUCCAAAGACCCUUACUCGGCAGACGAACGAAUCGCUGAUCCGAAGACACGGUCGGGAGGCGAUUCGGUCGUCGGCCGAGUAAGGUGUUCGUUGUUCACGUGACCUGCAUAGGCUCAGCACUGAUAGCGAGAGGAAACUGAAAGGUUCACUUUAAGACGCGAACGAUAUUUGUUUACAAGCAAGGUGUAACCACGCAUUCUUUAUUGAGAAAAUACCAAUGCUCCCCCACCCCCCAAACAUCAGCCGAAAUGUUUCUACAUCCUCCGUGUUGUGCUUCACGGUGGCUCCGUCGAUCGAUACCGGACUCCGCGCUCCAGCUGGCGGGCUUCCAGCUGCUCGGAGCGGACCGCGACACGGAGCUCGCCGUGUUUGUUUACAUGCCGCCGCCGGGCUACGUGCAGGAGGCACAGCGGACACUCGCCGACCCGCUUCGGCGUUUGGAGCGGACCAACCCGGAUAAACCUCCGCCAUGAACUUCCUAAAAACCUCUGUGGAUGGUGGUUCUAUCUGAUGGUGGUUGUCCCUGCAGUGGUCCUGCCGUACCCUCGUUCUGCUUCUUGAGAUUACUUCUAUCAUUUUUGUUAGAGGAUUUGAAUGUAUUGUACAUCUUUUACAUUGUUGUUUCUGUACACAUGACAUCCAUUGCAGUCUGUCCAUCCCGGGAGAGGGAUCCCUCCUCUGAUGUUCUCCCUAAGGUUUCUUCCCUUUUUUCCCCAUUGAAGGGUUUUUUCUAGAGAUGAGCGAGUACAGCAUUUUCUGUAUCUGUAUCUGUUGAACCAUAUGAAUUAUUUGUAUCCGUAUCCGUACUCGGACUGGGCGGGGCCUAACCCGGAAGUAGGAAGGAUUUACCCCGUAAAUUGUCGGUGUAGUGGCCAUUUGUCCUACGUAUCCUCAAUCAAAGGCCACUGAUGCAUCUAGUUUGACGUCUUUUACUCAGAAAAAAGAGUGUUGUCCAGGCGGUGUUUUCUUGUUGCUUGUUGUUUAUUUUUAACCAAAAUAUCACCAAAAAACAUAACAUAAAGUGAGCUGCUUUCCUAUGCACUGUCUAACUGUUAACUGCUUCACUGUUUCACUGCUGUACCUGUAACUGUAACUGGUAAAAACGUAUUUGUCACCCUGGUGCAUGCUGGUCCCACCUGGCUAUGCCCUUAAGUAACCUCCAGGUGCCCACCGCAUUACCCAAUUAGUGAUCCAAUUACUCAAUUAGUGAUCCCGCUACCCAAACAAUCAAGAAAAAUAUAUUUAAAGAAUAUAUAACUAAAUUAUAGCUCCUACAGUCGGGUUAAGCCUUUCUGCGGUUAAAACAGCAUUCCUUCUUAAUUCUUAUCACUGAUGAUCAUGAGAGAGAGAGGGUGUGUGUGUGGCUUAAUUUGUAAUAUUAAUAUUUAGUUAUUCAACACAACUAGUCAACGUCAGACACUGAGUGCGUGAAGAGAUCCAGCAGACGGUAAAAAAAAACUGAUGAGAGAGAGAGAGAGGUCAGUGCGUGAAGUAAAAAAAAAAAACUGGUUAGAGCCGACUGAAAAAAAAAACUCCGACAGGCAGAGACGCAAUGCGAGUCGCAUUCUUAAGCACCACGUCUUAACAAGCCCCACGUUUACCUGAACUCUACUAGUUAAGAACAACAAACCGCAGUAAAAAAAAAUAAAGGCGAAGAAAUCGUUUAAAUUUAUCGGGAAAGAACCGCGAACCUGCUACUGAGGGAGGGAGAGAGGAGUUCUGUGUGUGAGUGAGCCGAGCGGGACACAGCAACACAAACAGUAUGUGUGUAGUGGAGGGGCAAUGUGACUACCAGCCAAUCACAGAACGCAGACACAGACAGCUACCCAAUGAGGACUUUUAUUCAAUCCGAGCAGAUAUUGACUCGUAUUACUCGUAUAAUACUCGUACUCGGCAAAAGUGCUUUAUCCGUACCGGAUACUCGUUUCAGCCGAGUAUCCGGCUCAUCUCUAGUUUUUUCAUAUUUUGGGGAGUUUUUCCUGUGCCGAUGUGAGGGUUUCGGGACAGAGGAGGUUGCAUGU